rnacentral:tRNA from 1 species
GCCGGCGUGGUGGAAUGGUAGACACCAGGGACUUAAAAUCCCUUGCAGGGUAACUGCGUACCCGUUCGAGUCGGGCCGCCGGCACCA